AUUGAACGCUGGCGGCAGGCCUAACACAUGCAAGUCGAACGAGUGGCGGACGGGUGAGUAAUGUCUGGGAAACUGCCUGAUGGAGGGGGAUAACUACUGGAAACGGUAGCUAAUACCGCAUACCAUCGGAUGUGCCCAGAUGGGAUUAGGUAGUAGGGGGGGUAAAGGCGCACCUAGGCGACGAUCCCUAGCUGGUCUGAGAGGAUGACCAGCAACACUGGAACUGAGACACGGUCCAGACUCCUACGGGAGGCAGCAGUGGGGAAGAUUGCACAAUGGGCGCAAGCCUGAUGCAGCAAUGCCGCGUGUAUGAAGAAGGCCUACGGGUUGUAAAGUACGUUCAGCGGGGAGGCGUUACCCGCAGAAGAAGCACCGGCUAACUCCGUGCCAGCCGCCGCGGUAAUUC
rnacentral:rRNA from 1 species